GACGAACGCUGGCGGCGUGCCUAAUACAUGCCAGUAGAACGCACAGUUUAUACCGUAGCUUGCUACACCAUAAACUGUGAGUUGCGAACGGGUGAGUAACGCGUAGGUAACCUGCCUGGUAGCGGGGGAUAACUAUUGGAAACGAUAGCUAAUACCGCAUAAUAUUGAUUAUUGCAUGAUAAUUGAUUGAAAGAUGCUAUUGCAUCACUACCAGAUGGACCUGCGUUGUAUUAGCUAGUAGGUGAGGUAACGGCUCACCUAGGCGACGAUACAUAGCCGACCUGAGAGGGUGGUCGGCCACACUGGGACUGAGACACGGCCCAGACUCCUACGGGAGGCAGCAGUAGGGAAUCUUCGGCAAUGGACGAAAGUCUGACCGAGCAACGCCGCGUGAGUGAAGAAGGUUUUCGGAUCGUAAAGCUCUGUUGUAAGAGAAGAACGGGUGUGAGAGUGGAAAGUUCACACUGUGACGGUAUCUUACCAGAAAGGGACGGCUAACUACGUG
rnacentral:rRNA from 1 species